GCAAAGAGACAGCCUGUACGCCGAGGUGCAGAAGCACCGGAUGCAGCAGCAGCAGCGAGACCACCAGCAGCAACCUGGGGAGGCUGAGCCGCUGACGCCCACCUACAACAUCUCAGCCAAUGGGCUGACGGAACUGCAUGAUGACCUCAGCACCUACAUGGACGGCCACACCCCCGAGGGCAGCAAGGCCGACUCAGCUGUCAGCAGCUUCUACCUGGACAUCCAGCCCUCCCCAGACCAGUCGGGACUGGACAUCAAUGGGAUCAAACCCGAACCCAUAUGUGACUACACACCAGCAUCUGGCUUCUUCCCCUACUGUUCCUUCACCAACGGAGAGACUUCCCCAACCGUGUCCAUGGCGGAACUAGAACACCUUGCACAGAACAUAUCCAAAUCGCACCUGGAAACC
rnacentral:lncRNA from 1 species